rnacentral:misc_RNA from 1 species
UUUUUUUUUUUUUUUUUUAAAGUGAAUAGUUAAAGGCUUAACUGUUUUAAUUCCCAUACAUUUAAUUACAAUAUUCAGUAAAUUUAAUAAUUAAUUAAAACAGUUGUUUUGAAGGAUAUCAAUUGCAUCUCUACUUGUUAAUUGACUAUUGACUGCAACCACUUCAAUCUAAACCUACCCCAUUACUUAGAGUUACACUAAGUAUAUGAAUAUACCAAUUGAAUUGACUAUAAUGAGCAGGUGAGGACCAGCAGAAAAGUAGGGCUCCUACACAUAAACUUAAGUUUUAUAGGUUGAAGAAGGCAAUGGCGUGAGAAGAAAACCAAAUCCUUCUCUACCUAUAAAACGUUUUGAGUGAAAGAAAUGAAAUGCUUCUCUUAUUUUAAGAUACUAUCUUAGUGCCCUAAAAAUAUCCAUGCAUGAAUUCAUACUGAUAAUUUGAUUCACGUAAAUACAAGUCACAUGACUUACAUUAUGUCAUAAUAAAUAAUUUUUUAAAUUUUUUGAGAAACAAACAGGAAGAUAUGAUUUAUUAAAUAAAAUAUAUAAUUUAAAUAGCUAAUGGUUAUAUAUAUAUAUAUGAUAAUGUAAUCUUGUUUUAAUAAGCGUAUAAUGACAUGAAAUCAAAAUUUUAGGGAUUUUAAAUGUAUUUGCCAAGUCCAUGAAUUAUAUUAAUAGUAAAUGCAAAAAUUUUUAAAAGAUGAGAGAGGUAUGCACGUGUCAGGUUUGUAGCGCCAGUUAUUCAUACAGCUGCUGUGACUAAAGCAAAGCACAAAGAGAGAGAGAGAGA